rnacentral:rRNA from 1 species
UAAGGAAUAUUGGACAAUGGAGGCAACUCUGAUCCAGCCAUGCCGCGUGAAGGAAUAAGGCCCUAUGGGUUGUAAACUUCUUUUAGACGGGACAAAACCCCUUUACGUGUAAAGGGUUGAUGGUACUGUCAGAAUAAGCAUCGGCUAACUUCGUGCCAGCAGCCGCGGUAAUACGAAGGAUGCAAGCGUUAUCCGGAAUUAUUGGGUUUAAAGGGUGCGUAGGCGGACUAAUAAGUCAGUGGUGAAAGCCUGCAGCUUAACUGCAGAAUUGCCAUUGAUACUGUUAUUCUUGAGUACAGUUGAGGUAGGCGGAAUGUGUCAUGUAGCGGUGAAAUGCUUAGAUAUGACACAGAACACCGAUUGCGAAGGCAGCUUGCUAAGCUGUAACUGACGCUGAGGCACGAAAGCGUGGGGAGCAAACA